GAACCUGCGGAGGGAUCAUUACUGAGUUUACGCUCUAUAACCCUUUGUGAACAUACCUAUAACUGUUGCUUCGGCGGGUAGGGUCUCCGUGACCCUCCCGGCCUCCCGCCCCCGGGCGGGUCGGCGCCCGCCGGAGGAUAACCAAACUCUGAUUUAACGACGUUUCUUCUGAGUGGUACAAGCAAAUAAUCAAAACUUUUAACAACGGAUCUCUUGGUUCUGGCAUCGAUGAAGAACGCAGCGAAAUGCGAUAAGUAAUGUGAAUUGCAGAAUUCAGUGAAUCAUCGAAUCUUUGAACGCACAUUGCGCCCGCCAGCAUUCUGGCGGGCAUGCCUGUUCGAGCGUCAUUUCAACCCUCAAGCUCUGCUUGGUGUUGGGGCCCUACAGCUGAUGUAGGCCCUCAAAGGUAGUGGCGGACCCUCCCGGAGCCUCCUUUGCGUAGUAACUUUACGUCUCGCACUGGGAUCCGGAGGGACUCUUGCCGUAAAACCCCCAAUUUUCCAAAGGUUGACCUCGGAUCAGGUAGGAAUACCCGCUGAACUUAAGCAUAUCAU
rnacentral:rRNA from 1 species